GGUCCUGUCUAGCUUAACUUGUAGAGCAUGGUGAUGAUACUGCUAGGGUAAGGGGUUCAAUUCCCACUGGGGCCA